AUCUGUGAGAAUACCACGUGCCA
rnacentral:siRNA from 1 species